GACGAACGCUGGCGGCGUGCUUAACACAUGCAAGUCGAACGGUAAGGCCCUUCGGGGUACACGAGUGGCGAACGGGUGAGUAACACGUGGGUGAUCUGCCCUGCACUUUGGGAUAAGCCUGGGAAACUGGGUCUAAUACCGGAUAGGACCAUGCGCUUCCCGGUGGGUGGUGGAAAGCUUUUGCGGUGUGGGAUGGGCCCGCGGCCUAUCAGCUUGUUGGUGGGGUGAUGGCCUACCAAGGCGACGACGGGUAGCCGGCCUGAGAGGGUGACCGGCCACACUGGGACUGAGAUACGGCCCAGACUCCUACGGGAGGCAGCAGUGGGGAAUAUUGCACAAUGGGCGCAAGCCUGAUGCAGCGACGCCGCGUGAGGGAUGACGGCCUUCGGGUUGUGAACCUCUUUCAGCACCGACGAAGCGCAAGUGACGGUAGGUGCAGAAGAAGGACCGGCCAACUACGUGCCAGCAGCCGCGGUAA
rnacentral:rRNA from 1 species